GGCAGACAUGCAAAGGUAGUGUUGGCAUUGACCAAGGAAUGCUGGCCUCUGGGCCUCUGAGUCCCCCCCAGCUCAGAUGAUUUUUCUGUUCCACAGAGGCUGUAAGAGCUAAGCAGUGAAUUGCGUGGAAGGUGGCAGAGCUGACCGACUGUACACAGCAAUGGGAAACAUUUCUAUCCUGCUCCGUCUCUGCGUUUGCAGGGGCUGCUGACGAUCGUUGCCUCCUCUAACUACUCCGAAAAAAUACAAAAAUGCAGGUGGUCACUUGGGGCUGCGUCAGCAAAGAGAAUGCUCUUCUGGGGUCAUCUAACCUUGAAAAUAAUAGCCCCUGGAGAGCAAUUUCCAGAUGAAUCGCUCUGAAUUUCUUUUAUUCCCUAGACAGCUUGCCUUCUACAACGUGGUACUAUGAACAGCAAAGAACAUGACUGCCCUCUGACCUGUUGGCAUGUUGAGAGGCAAGAUUUCUCAUGAUCCAGGCUCUAUGGAGGAUGGGAGGAAUCCCAUUUUCAUGCUUAGUUUUACAGCUGAGCUGAGGUCUCUCCCGGGAAAACCAACAAACAUGGUCUAUUUUGUUAUUUUAAAACAGUUUUCCACAGUUAGAGUGCUGGUUUUAUCUGUGGAGGCUCAACACAACUUUAUGACUCUUACACUGGACAACAUUUUGCUACAGAUAAGAUAUAGUUUUGAGAUAGGAUGAUGGCAGGUAGGACCCUUUAGUAUUUGUUUUGUUAAAUAAUGACUUGAGCUCAAUUUGUGAAUUGAACUUAGGUCCUUUCUUUUCUUCUUCUUUUUUUUUUAAACCAUGUUUGUGGUUGCAGCUAUCGUUGUUAUUUUCAUGAUCAUUUCUGCCACUGACUUCCUCUCUGACAGGAGUUAUAUCAAUUUGUUUCUAUUUUACUUUGUUGUACCUUGGUCUCUCCAGAGGAAAAUGGGAACUUGAGAGUAUUUAUGAAGAAAAUGCCUGUCAAAUUGGGAAUACUCUCGGAGUGGAAAAUGGAGGCAUUAUGAAAUAACUUUAUUUUCCUCUGUGAUCAACGUGUAGUGAACGCUCAAUGAGAUAUGACUAGAAUUUAAGAAUGAAGACUCCACUAGAGCAAGGGUCUCUCCUAUCUUCUUAUCUAUCGUAUCUCUGGCACUGGGACAGGAACUGAUAGUGAAGGUGCUCAGUGUUUGUUGAAUGCAUAAAUGACCAAUGGAAAGAAGGAAGAAAAAAGAAGGAAGGAAGGAAGGAAUGAAGGAAGAAAGGAAGGACCAGAGAGAGGAACAAGACCCUCUGCUGAGCCAGCAGGUACAAAUCAGCUCACAGCCUGCAGAACAGAAACUGACAGCGCGUCAGAGACCUGCAUGACAGUCCUGGCUUCCACUCUGGCCUCUCAGUUUCCUCAUAUGUUCAGUGAGUUCAUCAUCCUUCUCACACAAUAAAGAUGAAGACCAACACCACCUGACAUUCGUUGAGUAUUUACUAGGGGCCAGGUGUUCUACUAAGUGUUUCCAAUUCAUAUUCUCAUUGAACCUCCACAACUACUCGAUGAAGAAGGCAUAAUCUCUGUCCCCAUUUUAUAGAUGAAGAAAGUGAAGUCUAGACAUAACUUACCUGCCCAAUGUCACACAGCUGGGAGUUUGCCAAAUUAAGAUCCAAAUCAUGAUUUUUUUUAAAUUCGUUGCAAUAAUC
rnacentral:lncRNA from 10 species